rnacentral:rRNA from 1 species
AGAACGAACGCUGGCGGCAUGCCUAACACAUGCAAGUCGAACGAGAUCUUCGGAUCUAGUGGCGCACGGGUGCGUAACGCGUGGGAAUCUGCCUUUCGGUACGGAAUAACUCAUGGAAACGUGUGCUAAUACCGUAUGAUGUCGCGAGACCAAAGAUUUAUCGCCGAGAGAUGAGCCCGCGUAGGAUUAGCUAGUUGGUGGGGUAAAGGCCUACCAAGGCGACGAUCCUUAGCUGGUCUGAGAGGAUGAUCAGCCACACUGGGACUGAGACACGGCCCAGACUCCUACGGGAGGCAGCAGUGGGGAAUAUUGGACAAUGGGCGCAAGCCUGAUCCAGCAAUGCCGCGUGAGUGAUGAAGGCCUUAGGGUUGUAAAGCUCUUUUACCCGGGAAGAUAAUGACUGUACCGGGAGAAUAAGCCCGGCUAACUCCGCGCCAGCAGCCGC